GAACGAAAUUCAUAACAGUGUGGUCGACAGAAAAACGUUUAUUAGUAAUUGUACUGAAAAGUUUACCUUUAACUUGUUUGUCGUGGGCGAUGAUUUUAUGCUCACUCAGUCUAUCGGAGGCCUUCAAGUGGGGAUUUAAAUAAUCAUUUGUUACACAUUUUGAUACAUAAAAUGAAACUUUCUUUUCACAUAUCAUUUAAGGAAUUUAUUUUAAAUAAUUGUUAUACCAUCACUUACAACAGUUUCACUUUUAAGAAUAUUAAUGUCCAGAGCUGAUAUCAAUAAAUAAUAAUAAAAAAAAAAAGUUUAUUCUUGGUAAAAAAAAACAAAAAAAACUUUUAAGUUAAUAGGGACCCGCGUUAUUUCAGAAAAUAUCUUAUUGAUUAAGAGAACAAAAACUUCUACGUUGUGAUCAUUUAAGAGUGGCCUUCUAUUUAUUCAAUGCUAACCAUGUGGGCUUUUUUUUUUUUUUUAUAUAUACCAUAAAUCGAUUCGUUCAUUCAGAUAUUUGUCAGUUUGCCUUGGCUCUUCAAGUCCAACACACAACUUCUCACGAAAUUGGUAUUUUUCUUACAAAAAUUACAUCCAUGUGAUGUAUUCUUUUCAUGGAGAAAGAAUGUGUCACCUUAUUUUAUUUGUUAUCGUUUUUUUGUGUGUGUAUCAUUGACGUAUAAGACAACCUGAAUCUUCUUUAUUCAAAUUUAAAACAUACGAGAUGGCAAUUAUGACACAAAAUAACUAAAUUAAACUUACAGCAGAAGAAAGAUAAUGAACAUCGCUUUUAUAGUCUUCUAAAUAUCGAAGACGCGUGGUCUUUUUAAAAAUGAUGUAAAUUUAUAAAGGAAACAACAAACAAAAUAGUUCGAAUAUUUAUAUUGGAAAAAGUAACGGUGUGUAAAUCAUAACAAUUAUUUUAUUUCAAUGAAAAUCAAACUGUUGAAUUUUUUCCGCUGCGAGCAAAUUUUUAAUUUUGGUCGCAUUUUGAAAAUCAAUAAAUCUUGUAUUCUUGUUGGAAGCUGCACUGUGUAGUUUAUACCCGUUUUUUUUCAAUGCCACACAAAUCCAACACAGACAAAAAAAAAUGGUAGGUUCAAGAAAUAAUUGAUGCAAACUAUACUUUAUUGUAGUUUUAACAUGGGUAGGCAUUAUAUUCGUGAUUAUUUUUGCCCGAGC
rnacentral:lncRNA from 1 species